rnacentral:tRNA from 1 species
GGAUGUGGCUCAGUGGGAGAGCACUUGCCUGGCAUGUUUAAGGCCCUGGGUUCGAUCCCCAGCACCA